CCUACGGGAGGCAGCAGUAAGGAAUAUUGGUCAAUGGAGGCAACUCUGAACCAGCCAUGCCGCGUGCAGGAAGAAGGCCCUAUGGGUCGUAAACUGCUUUUGUACCAGAGAAAACCCGAGUACGUGUACUCGGUUGAUAGUAUGGUAAGAAUAAGCAUCGGCUAACUUCGUGCCAGCAGCCGCGGUAAGACGAAGGAUGCAAGCGUUAUCCGGAUUCAUUGGGUUUAAAGGGUGCGUAGGCGGACUGAUAAGUCAGUGGUGAAAUCUCUCGGCUUAACCGAGAAACUGCCAUUGAUACUGUUAGUCUAGAGUAUAGAUGACGUUGGCGGAAUAUGACAUGUAGUGGUGAAAUACUUAGAUAUGUCAUAGAACACCGAUUGCGAAGGCAGCUAACGAAACUAUAACUGACGCUGAGGCACGAAAGUGCGGGGAUCAAACAGGAUUAGAUACCCUGGUAGUCCGCACCGUAAACGAUGAUUACUCGUUGUUGGCAAAUUAUGACCGUCAGCGACCGACGACGAACGACGAGUAAGUAAUACCACCGUACGGGUAGGUACGGACCCGGCCGGACCGGUACGGAACCGUAACCGAAACGUAAGUAAGUUAGUACGGACGUAGAGACGUUACGCCGACGGACGACCGACGAGGGAGGGAGGGAG
rnacentral:rRNA from 1 species